ensembl:lncRNA
AGCUUGUCUGCUCUGCAGUCCUCGUUCUUCACUCAGUUGUUUCCUGCUUUUGCAUGAAGGACUUGCAGCAGCCACCAGGGAAGCAGUCGGCCUCUGGUAAUGAAGACUUUUGGCUGAUGAAACGGGGUGUUGGACUGCCCGGCAGACCUCGUUGCAUCUUCAGAGCCUCUGAGCUGAGGUUGAGUGAUUGGGGGUGGAAGAGGACAUCUCGAAAGUACAGAGAGUGCAUCAUGUCUUUUAUCCUGUCUUCCUUCUCUCACCCCAACCGGUCGCAGCAGAUGGCCCCGCCCCUCCCUGAGGUUUCUUCCUGUUAAAAUGGAGUUUUUCCUUCCCACUGUCGCCAAAGUGCUGCUCAUAG